GACGAACCGUGCGAACGUUAUUCGGAAUCACUGGGCUUAAAGCGCGUGUAGGCGGCCCGGCACGUCCGUCGCUGAAAUCCCCCGGCUCAACCGGGGAAGGGGCGCGGAUACGACCGGGCUGGAGGGGGGUAGGGGAAGCGGAAUUUCCGGUGUAGCGGUGAAAUGCGUAGAUAUCGGAAGGAACACCAGUGGCGAAAGCGGCUUCCUGGUCCAGCACCGACGUUCAGGCACGAAAGCGUGGGGAGCAAACAGG
rnacentral:rRNA from 1 species